CAGCCGCCGCGGUAAUACGUAGGGUGCGAGCGUUAAUCGGAAUUACUGGGCGUAAAGCGUGCGCAGGCGGUUGUGUAAGACAGGUGUGAAAUCCCCGGGCUUAACCUGGGAACUGCGCUUGUGACUGCACAGCUAGAGUAUGGCAGAGGGGGGUGGAAUUCCACGUGUAGCAGUGAAAUGCGUAGAGAUGUGGAGGAACUCCGAUGGCGAAGGCAGCCCCCUGGGCCAAUACUGACGCUCAUGCACGAAAGCGUGGGGAGCAAACAGGAUUAGAUACCCGCGUAGUCCCUGUCUCUUAUAC
rnacentral:rRNA from 1 species